rnacentral:rRNA from 1 species
GACGAACGCUGGCGGCGUGCUUAACACAUGCAAGUCGAACGGUGAAAGCGGAGCUUGCUCCGCUGGAUCAGUGGCGAACGGGUGAGUAACACGUGGGCAACCUGCCCCUCACUUCGGGAUAACUCCGGGAAACCGGGGCUAAUACCGGAUAUGACCUCCUUGGGCAUCCUUGGAGGUGGAAAGUGUUUCGGUGAGGGAUGGGCCCGCGGCCUAUCAGCUUGUUGGUGAGGUAGUGGCUCACCACGGAGACGACGGGUAGCCGGCCUGAGAGGGCGACCGGCCACACUGGGACUGAGACACGGCCCAGACUCCUACGGGAGGCAGCAGUGGGGAAUAUUGCGCAAGGGGCGAAAGCCUGACGCAGCAACGCCGCGUGCGGGAUGACGGCCUUCGGGUUGUAAACCGCUUUCAGCAGGGAAGAAGCCGCAAGGUGACGGUACCUGCAGAAGAAGCACCGGCUAACUACGUGCCAGCCGCCGCGGUAA